rnacentral:misc_RNA from 1 species
CACUCCCUUUUAAGCUCCGAUUCCUCUCAGGUGCAUGCUUUUUUUGCUUUCUCUGUUCAAUCAUGGAUCCUAAGAAACUUGCAUUGCCAGACCAGUAAUGAUACUGGCGCUAAGGAAACGUAUAGUUCUGAGGAUUUGAUUGCAAAAGCCCCUGAUGCGGAUGCAUCACAGGUCCAGGUCUUAGUAAAGAAAUUCCAUUUGGGAAAUUCAACUGAAAAUGUUAAAAAUAGAAGCAUGACAGUUGACGAAGGCACAGUUCUAGAGCAAACCCAGGAAGCAAAAGGUGGAAAUAUCUCAGAUCCUAGUGGGAAUGGAAGUGUUUUAGACGGUACCCAUUUGGGUAAUUUUUCUGAUACGGUAAAGAACGUAAACUUGCCUGGUGAAGAAGGAAUUCUAAUUAGGAAUUUUAGCCUCACUGGCGAUGGAUGUAAGGAUGCNNNNNNNNNNNNNACCGCUGGGAAGUCUCUAACAAAUUCCAGUACUGAAAACAAUACAGUUGUUAAAUAUAGCGAUAAGGG